rnacentral:lncRNA from 1 species
CACUAAGAUCAUCCUUAUAUUGUUCAUUGUGCACUUAAACAUACACACUCCCCCCACACACAUCUGUAUCAUUUAACAAAAAUGGAAUCACAUCAUGCAUGUUCGUUUCACCUUGCGUGCUUUUUUAAAUUUGUCUUUUUCCUAAUUAGUGCCCACCCCUGUUCUUCCCUCAAUCCAGUGUUAGCCACUUGGCCUGGAUCCCCUCCAGGCCCAUGUAGUCAUGAGCACACCCACAGAUUCGCAGGCACACAGCCCAUGGUACACUUUCACCCCUUUUGUCCUAAUACAACUGAUAGUCCUUGAGAGUUGUUUUUCCCAGCUCAGUCUCCAGCCCAGGGUCACCCAGGGUCAUUAUACCUAAGUCUCUUUUAAGGUGGAAUGGUCCCACCACCUUUGAGAUGCCUGAUCUUGACAUCCUGGAAGACUAUAGGACUCCCACCAGGUUACAGCCGUGUCACACAGGCAGGGGUGGUGUCAAUCGGGCAAAGACACCUUCUCUGGGCUGCACGGCUGAAACUGGGCAGUGCUGCCCAGGUGUUCCCCCUCUCUUCCUGGGCCUCCAGUUCCCCACAGCCAUGGGAGCACUUGGAAGAAGCCAGGACAUGCUCUCUCCCAGCUGCUCCCGAGCCCGAACCAAAAUCGCCACUGAGAACACAGAUAGUUGUUCCUUGAGAAGACAAAAAGCAUACACUCGGUGUUCAAGAAGCAGUUAUCACGAGGAGAUAGAAAGGCCCCCAAACUGUUUUGUAACUUUAGUGCAAAGUGUGCAACCGAGCAGCACACGAUGGCAAAAGGGGCAGUGUCCCAUGAGCGUGGGGCGAUUCUGCCACUGCGCAGCCAGCCAGUCCCGGAGCCUGGUGCCUAUCUGGUCUGCGCCCGCGUCCCCACACCCAGGUCUGCACCGGCAGCGCCCACUCGCAACUCAGAGGACAGCAGCAAAACAAAGACCCGCUUCUCCCUUCCAGAAAUGGGGCUUAGUCACAAUCCCCAAAGAAUCCAAAG